rnacentral:rRNA from 1 species
CGUGGAGACAGGUGGUGCAUGGCUGUCGUCAGCUCGUGUCGUGAGAUGUUGGGUUAAGUCCGGCAACGAGCGCAACCCUCACCCCUAGUUGCCACCGGGUAAAGCCGAGCACUCGAGGGGAACUGCCAGCGUCAAGCUGGAGGAAGGCGGGGAUGACGUCAAGUCAUCAUGCCCCUUACGCCCUGGGCUACACACGUGCUACAACGGCCAGUACAAAGGGACGCGAGACCGCGAGGUGGAGCUAAUCCCAAAAAACUGGCCUAGGUUCAGAUCGCAGUCUGCAACUCGACUGCAUGAAGGAGGAAUCGCUAGUAAUCGCGCAUCAGCCCGGCGCGGUGAAUACGUUCCCGGGCCUUGUACACACCGCCCGUCACACCACGAAAGCUGUCUGUACUCGAAGUCGCUGAG